GACGAACGCUGGCGGCGUGCUUAACAUAUGCAAGUCGAGCGGAAAGGCCCUGCUUUUGUGGGGUGCUCGAGUGGCGAACGGGUGAGUAACACGUGAGUAAACUGCCCUUGACUUUGGGAUAACUUCAGGAAACUGGGGCUAAUACCGGAUAGGAGCUCCUGCUGCAUGGUGGGGGUUGGAAAGUUUCGGCGGUUGGGGAUGGACUCGCGGCUUAUCAGCUUGUUGGGGGGGUAGUGGCUUACCAAGGCUUUGACGGGUAGCCGGCCUGAGAGGGUGACCGGCCACAUUGGGACUGAGGUACGGCCCAGACUCCUACGGGAGGCAGCAGUGGGGAAUAUUGCACAAUGGGCGGAAGCCUGAUGCAGCAACGCCGCGUGCGGGAUGACGGCCUUCGGGUUGUAAACCGCUUUCGUCUGUGACGAAGCGUGAGUGACGGUAAUGGGUAAAGAAGCACCGGCUAACUACGUG
rnacentral:rRNA from 1 species